rnacentral:rRNA from 1 species
GACGGGGCCCGCACAAGCGGAGGAGCAUGUGGUUUAAUUCGAUGAUACGCGAGGAACCUUACCUGGGCUCGAACGUAAGAUGACUGUAGGUGAAAGCUUACAUCUCUUCGGAGCAUUUUACGAGGUGCUGCAUGGUUGUCGUCAGCUCGUGCCGUGAGGUGUCGGGUUAAGUCCCAUAACGAGCGCAACCCUACCUUUAGUUGCCAUCAGGUAAUGCUGGGGACUCUAAAGGAACUGCCUACGCAAGUAGUGAGGAAGGCGGGGAUGACGUCAAAUCAGCACGGCCCUUACGUCCAGGGCUACACACGUGCUACAAUGGCCGAUACAGAGGGCAGCUACCUGGUGACAGGAUGCAAAUCUCCAAAGUCGGUCUCAGUUCGGAUCGGAGUCUGCAACCCGACUCCGUGAAGUUGGAUUCGCUAGUAAUCGCGCAUCAGCCAUGGCGCGGUGAAUACGUUCCCGGGCCUU